UGCUCGACACGGAGUGAACAAGACAGGGGGGGGGGGGCGGCGCUGGUUUGUUUUCCAGACGCGAGCGACAACAGCUGGGGGCCUCCGGCUGGGCCGCUCGUUUGAACUUCACUCCACCCACAACGUCUGGCGGGCUUGGCACCACGAGCCUCGGCGGCGGCGGCGGCGGCGUCCCUCCCGCGCGAACUGCCCCGCCUCCGCUCGAAGCGACGUGCCGCUCGCCAAGGCAGACUCCCGUCAACUGCGAUCAGGGUUCUGGACCAUGGCGUGAUCCGAGCUGGAGAUCAGGCAAACACAUAAUGAGUUGCGAUAUCUCGGCGACCACCGCCUCAUUGCCAUCUGCCAGUUCCGAAGCAAUAGAAAUGUAGUAAGCAGCAGUGCGUGUUCGGACAAGGAGCAGAGGCAGAGUCGCUGGGGCCUGCAUACCACUCAUCAUCCGUCCAUUGCAGCAGAUGUAGACUGCUGAAGAAAUAUGGACGUUGUUUGUGUUCAUCUCAUUUCUUCCUUUUGUUUCACGGGUCACACGGAGAACGUGUUGGCAGCAAAUGUACCACGGAAGCCAUUCGUCCAAUUAAGCCAAUAAACACGUCGAAAA